UACGGGGGGAGCAAGCGUUGUUCGGAAUUACUGGGCGUAAAGGGCGUGUAGGCGGCCUUGUAAGUCGGGGGUGAAAUCCACUGGCUCAACCAGUGACGUGCCUUCGAAACUGCUUGGCUUGAGUAUGGCAGAGGAGAGCGGAAUUCCAGGUGUAGCGGUGAAAUGCGUAGAUAUCUGGAAGAACACCGGUGGCGUAGGCGGCUCUCUGGGCCAAUACUGACGCUGAUGCGCGAAAGCCAGGGGAGCAAACGGG
rnacentral:rRNA from 2 species